GACAGAGGGGGCAAGCGUUGCUCGGAAUCACUGGGCGUAAAGGGCGCGUAGGCGGGAUGGCAAGUCGGUCGUGAAAUCCUUCGGCUCAACCGAAGAACGUCGGCCGAUACUGCCGUUCUUGAGGGAUGCAGAGGAGAUUGGAAUUCCCGGUGUAGCGGUGAAAUGUGUAGAGAUCGGGAGGAACACCGGUGGCGAAGGCGGGUCUCUGGGCAUCUCCUGACGCUGAGGCGCGAAAGCGUGGGGAGCAAACGGG
rnacentral:rRNA from 4 species